GUUUUCUUCACACAGAAGGAGAGAGGUAAGGAAAGGAAAGCAAGAGAUAGAGACACCCAUGAAAGAUCAAAAGUUUCAAAGUGGGGAGAGAUAUAUCUGAGAAAAAGACUUGUCCCUCUUGUGGCAACUUGGAUAUACUUUGACAAGAAAGCUUUGAUCCUCCCUCCCUCCUUCCCUCCCUCUCUCCGUCUCCCUGAGUUGGGUUUUACAACUAGUAGAAGUUUCCUUUAGAAUUCAAAACCAAAAACUGAGUUUCUUUGUUGGAGAAAAAAAGAGAUGAAAAUGGUCUAAAAGGAAGAGUCUUGCAUGGCGAGCCACGGGGUUGGGGAGACUGGUUUAUCAGACUCGGGUCCUUCUAAUCAUCAUCUCCCUUAUGCAGCUCUUCAUGGAAUCAAUACUCCAUCUACCAGUUUCUUUAAUCAAGAAGGACCUCCUUUUGAUUUUGGAGAGCUGGAAGAAGCAGUUCUGCAAGGAGUUAAGAUUAGGAAUGAUGAAGCUAGAGCACCUUUAUUCAGACCUGCAGCUACUCUGGAAAUGUUCCCCCCAUGGCCAAUAAGAUUCCAACCAACACCAAGAGUAGUAGUUUCUUAGCUUGCUUUCUCCAUCUUUGACUAUCUCUUCUGUCUUUUGAUAUGGGUACUGGAUAGAUACAUAAACAAAGCUUGAAAGUUCAAGACCUUAUUCUCUCCAGUUUUCACUCAAAAAAUUUUUUCCAUGAAAGUUUCUUUAUUUCCUCGAUUGGCAAGUCACUUUUCUUCUGGUUCUUGGGUGCCCAUUCGGAACUUAGUUUACUAAGGUGAUUGUAAUAUUCUUUUUGGUAACAAACGCUUCUUGGAUACCCAUUUGAAUAUUUCUGGUGGGGAUUGCUUUUGUUU
rnacentral:misc_RNA from 1 species